UACGUAGGGUGCGAGCGUUGUCCGGAAUUACUGGGCGUAAAGAGCUCGUAGGUGGUUUGUCGCGUUGUUCGUGAAAACUCACAGCUUAACCGUGGGCGUGCGGGCGAUACGGGCAGACUGGAGUACUGCAGGGGAGACUGGAAUUCCUGGUGUAGCGGUGGAAUGCGCAGAUAUCAGGAGGAACACCGGUGGCGAAGGCGGGUCUCUGGGCAGUAACUGACGCUGAGGAGCGAAAGCGUGGGGAGCGAACAGG
rnacentral:rRNA from 1 species